UACGUAGGGUGCGAGCGUUGUCCGGAAUUAUUGGGCGUAAAGGGCUCGUAGGCGGUUUGUCGCGUCGGGAGUGAAAACCAGGUGCUUAACACCUGGCUUGCUUUCGAUACGGGCAGACUAGAGGUAUGCAGGGGAGAACGGAAUUCCUGGUGUAGCGGUGAAAUGCGCAGAUAUCGGGAAGAACACCCGUGGCGAAGGCGGCUCUCUGGGACGGUACUGGACGCUGAGACGCGAAAGCGUGGGGAGCGAACAGG
rnacentral:rRNA from 1 species